UAAUAAGUGUUUUAUGGCACUUUUUAAAUCCAUAUCCACCUUGUGUGCAAUGUCAGUCGAUCUUCUUCAUGGAGAUCGACCAAACAUCAACCUUUAUCUUUUAACUCUAUGUCUGAAAAAUAUUAUGAAUAAACAAUUCAAAAUA
rnacentral:misc_RNA from 1 species